rnacentral:rRNA from 1 species
UACGUAGGGGGCAAGCGUUGUCCGGAAUUAUUGGGCGUAAAGAGCCCGUAGGCGGUCCGUUAAGUCGGCUGUGAAAGUCCAGGGCUCAACCCUGGAAAGCCGGCCGAUACUGUCGGACUAGAGUCCGGAAGAGGCAAGUGGAAUUCCCGGUGUAGCGGUGAAAUGCGCAGAUAUCCGGAGGAACACCGGUGGCGAAGGCGGCUUCCUGGGCCGACACUGACGCUGAGGCGCGAAAGCUAGGGGAGCAAACGGG